rnacentral:rRNA from 1 species
AUUGAACGCUAGCGGGAUGCUUUACACAUGCCAGUCGAACGGCAGCGCGGACUUCGUUCUGGCGGCGAGUGGCGAACGGGUGAGUAAUGUAUCGGAACGUGCCCAGUAGCGGGGGAUAACUACGCGAAAGCGUAGCUAAUACCGCAUACGCCCUACGGGGGAAAGCAGGGGAUCGUAAGACCUUGCACUAUUGGAGCGGCCGAUGUCGGAUUAGCUAGUUGGUGAGGUAACGGCUCACCAAGGCGACGAUCCGUAGCUGGUUUGAGAGGACGACCAGCCACACUGGGACUGAGACACGGCCCAGACUCCUACGGGAGGCAGCAGUGGGGAAUUUUGGACAAUGGGGGCAACCCUGAUCCAGCCAUCCCGCGUGUGUGAUGAAGGCCUUCGGGUUGUAAAGCACUUUUGGCAGGAAAGAAACGUCGCGGGCUAAUACCCCGUGGAACUGACGGUACCUGCAGAAUAAGCACCGGCUAACUACGUG